AGAGUUUGAUCCUGGCUCAGGAUGAACGCUGGCGGCGUGCCUAAUACAUGCAAGUCGAGCGGGGUCCCUCGGGACCCAGCGGCGAACGGGUGAGUAACACAUGGGCAACCUGCCCCUACGCCGGGGACAACAGACGGAAACGUCUGCUGAUACCGGAUAGUGGCGCCUGAGGCAUCUCGGGCGUCUGAAAGGAGCUACGGCUCCGCGGAGGGAUGGGCCCAUGGCGCAUUAGCUGGUUGGCGGGGCAGCGGCCCACCAAGGCGACGAUGCGUAGCCGGCCUGAGAGGGUGAACGGCCACAUUGGGACUGAGACACGGCCCAGACUCCUACGGGAGGCAGCAGUAGGGAAUUUUCGGCAAUGGGCGGAAGCCUGACCGAGCAACGCCGCGUGAGGGAGGAAGGCCUUCGGGUUGUAAACCUCUGUUGGAAGGGAAGAACGUGGUGCGCAGGGAAUGGCGCGCCAGUGACGGUACCUUCCGAGGAAGCCACGGCUAACUACGUGCCAGCAGCCGCGGUAAUACGUAGGUGGCGAGCGUUAUCCGGAUUUAUUGGGCGUAAAGGGUGCGCAGGCGGCGGACUAAGUCCGAGGUGAAAGAACGGGGCUCAACCCCGUCAAGCCUCGGAAACUGGUCUGCUAGAGUGCAGGAGAGGUUGGCGGAAUUCCAUGUGUAGCGGUAAAAUGCGUAGAUAUAUGGAGGAACACCGGUGGCGAAGGCGGCCAACUGGCCUGUAACUGACGCUGAGGCACGAAAGCGUGGGGAGCAAACAGGAUUAGAUACCCUGGUAGUCCACACCGUAAACGAUGAGUGCUAAGUGUUUGAGGGUUCCGCCCCUAAGUGCCGCAGCCUCACACAUUAAGCACUCCGCCUGGGGAGUACAACCGGCAGGGUGGAAACCCAAGGAAAUUGACGGGGACCCGCACAAGCGGUGGAGCAUCUGGUUUAAUUUGAAGCAACGCGAAGAACCUUACCAGGUCUUGACAUCCCUUGACAACUCCAGAGAUGGAGCGUUCCCUUCGGGGACAAGGUGACAGGCGGUGCAUGGUUGUCGUCAGCUCGUGUCGUGAGAUGUUGGGUUAAGUCCCGCAACGAGCGCAACCCUUAUUACUAGUUGCCAGCAUUCAGUUGGGCACUCUAGUGAGACUGCCGGUGACAAACCGGAGGAAGGUGGGGAUGACGUCAAAUCAUCAUGCCCCUUAUGACCUGGGCUACACACGUGCUACAAUGGCGUAUACAACGAGUUGCCAACCCGCGAGGGUGAGCUAAUCUCUUAAAGUACGUCUCAGUUCGGAUUGUAGGCUGCAACUCGCCUACAUGAAGUCGGAAUCGCUAGUAAUCGCGGAUCAGCACGCCGCGGUGGAUACGUUCCCGGGUCUUGCACACAACGCCCGUCA
rnacentral:rRNA from 1 species